AGCUGGGUUCAGGUGGCUUUUAGGGUGAAGUGAGACUUUUGCAUGGCCAGGCUACAACCUGCUUUAAAAGCUUUCAAUAUCUGAUGAAGGUAUGCACCAAACUGAUUAAAAAAGCACUCUUAAGGGUGUAUGUAACAGAACAAUUAGUUUCUCUUGGGCUUUACUGGUGUCUUUAGUUCUGCUUGCCUCUCAUACUUCCUGCUGGGCUGGACACAAGUAGAAGAGAGACUUCACUAGCUGGAGACUUGCAGGGGAGUAAAAUGCCUGUAUCUGAAAAGGAAGUACCUGCAGCCUGUAUCCCACUAGGAGACUUUGGAGAGGUGGUUGAACUGCUUUGGACUUCUGGGCAGAUUUAAGCUGAAGAGGAGGCAUGCAUCGCAAAGAUCUUGGAAAAACAGAGGUGUGACUGAAGGAGCUGUCCAUCUCAACACAGAUAUGAAAAGAAGCUGAAGGUCCCUUCUUGCUGGGGCAAAGGAACCACUGGGGCACCUGCCUCUCACUUGGCAGCACAGAGAGCACCCGGAUCCUGCUCGGACCUGUGAGGACUGAUCCCAGAAAGGUCCCUUCAUCUCCACCACUACAGAAACAAAGGAUAGAAACUCAGAAAAGAUGCUAGCUAUAAAGUAAACUAAUCUUGAUGCUAAAAGGCAAGUCCCUUUCCUUGCUGUGCUGCAAUGAUUUCCAUCAUCUUCACAAGAGCUGGAAGGGAGAUGGAGGAGAAAAGGAAAGCACAGUAUAAGAGCUAACACUUAUGGCUCAGCCUCAUCCAGUGGGCAGCUGAAGGUCUGUGGAAGUCGUCUUCUGCACUGUAGGUAAGCACUGACUCCUCAAAUUUAGUCAAGUAUUUGCAUGUAAGUGACAGACUGAGUAACGCACAGCUGAUGAGACUGCAACAUUGAGGCCUCAUUUAAUCCCAGAAGACACACAAAAUGAUUAGACAAGCAACUACCACAAGCUGACUGAAAAACAGCUUAAAGCUGUAAUCACAUGGAGAGGGAGUCAUAUUUUAAACUACAACCUUAGUUAAGGUACAGAGCUAGGUCUUAAAAAGGUAUGCUGACAAAAAAGAAAAGUGCUGCUGCUGUUGUUGUUUUUUAAAUAGGUUUUUGCAUAUGUUCCUUUUCUGGGUCAGAUGGUAGGGAGGAGCAAAAGAUGCCAGUCUCCCUCUGGUGUCCAUUUCUUAUCCAAAACAAGGCGAAAAGUAGACCAGAAGGUGGUACACCACUUCAGGUGGCACACCACUGGCUACGACCUGGGAAAGAGGGCCCGCAGAGCAAGCAGCAGGAGUUGAAACAUUUUUGUAGCAUGUAUUAACUUUUUACAGCCUUGUUUUUGUAAGACAGUAGCAAGCAAUUUCUAUAAACUCAGCUUAGGGCUCUGCCAGUGGAGAUGAGACCCUGACAGGAUAAUGGUUAGAGCUGUCCUAGUGUCCCAGAAAAAUCUAAACACAAUUUAUACUCUGUGUUUAAAAAAACACCGUACCUCUGGAACCCAAAUAGAAAUGCUGUUGUUUGUGCUGGAAGAGCAUCAGACGUGGGUAUUCUCCCCCUCCUGGUCAUGUUGCCAGUCCCUAAAACAUAAUCUCGGCUGAAAGACAGAUUUAUUGUGACUUUUUUUUCUUGUUUCUCUGCCAGUCUCAUUUCCUGUGGGCAGGCACUUUCUUUAUCCUUCCCUUUUCCUUUAGCCAUACCACAGUUCUCUGCUAUAUUUGCUGUGGUAGAAAUGGUGACAAUAUAUUAAGGAAAUCGGGCAACAGUGCAGUCCUAUGGCACACAUGGGCAGUGGCUCCAGUGAACGCAGCACUCUCAGAGAGCAACUACCCUCUCCUUCAUAUAGAAUGGAGUGGCAUAGGGGCCCUCGCUGAAGAUCAUCUGUUUUCAUCACCUCAACAGUAUUGCACAUCAUUUCCAGUCUUGGAGAAACUGGAGAAGCAAAUUGAGUCACCUUACAAAAUAACCGUCGGCUAACAGGGCCUUUCUUAGAUUUGUCUUUAAAGAUAUGUUGUAUCAUUUUGUCACUGUAAACUAAUGUUAUUUAGUCCCUUUCACAACUCUAAUAAUGCAAAUUGCAAAUGCUAUUCAAAUUUUAAAAUAUAAACUUUAAUUGUGAAAGUUUCAGUAUCCCUAUCAGGUCCUAAACUCAUCUAAAGGAAAGGAAAUUGAAGAAGUAAAUCUAACUACAGCUUUCGGAGCUGAUCAGCACAGGCUGUUCUUGCACAGACCAAGUGAACCAAAGAAAUUCAGCAUCUAUGAAACCCAAGGCUUCUACAGAUUUGGAGAUCAAAAUUUGAAAGAAGAAAUUCUGCUGAGGCUGUCUUUACUGCAGUGCAUGACCUGGCGGUAUAUAGCACCUUACAGGAGCAGGCUUCUGAUGUGAUCUCUUUGAAUCCUAAAUGCAGUCUUCAAAGAGGAUCUCUGAAAAAGGAUAUCCGAAACUUAACUUCAGCUGUGAAACCUGCAGAGAGAGGCCCAUGUAUGGGCCCAAGGGAAAUUCCAACACUUCUGGCAAAACCAGAAGAUACUCCUUUGCAACUUCCUUAACUUCAAGGUGUGGUGAAAGCAACCAUAGGAAUCUAACCACUUGCUUUGAACUGACUGAUAGGAGAACUGAAUUCAAAAGGUGGCCCCAGCAGGCAAUCCAGGAGGUAUGCAGGCAUUUCUGCUAUACAACACUUACUGUAUUUUUGACCGAUAAAUGAGCCUAGAUUUUUCCAUCACUUCUGUGGGUGCAAAGAGGGCAAAAAGAAAUCCUCUUCCUGCAUCUCUGCACAGCACUGUCACAGCAGCCUCUACAAUCGGGGGACAAAGCUUGCUCUUUCUGUGAACUCCCAAAGCGCACAUGGAUCUAAUUACGGGUGACUGUGUUGCCUUAAUACAGCCUUCCUACGCAUGUGCCUUGUGAUCUAUUCUCUAAUCAUAUUUUUUUUCCAUAGGACCUGUGUCUUACUCAGCACAAACGGUUCUGAAGAUCAACCACAGCUGUGCAGCAACCAUGACUUGUUUCUCAUAGGAAUAUUAUUUAAUUUGUUUUAGAAAUUAAAAAGUAUUUAGUGCAUAGAGAGAGAAUACAGAAUAGCGAAGGAUAUCUCAGGUUAAGUAACUAAAAGCUGCUCUGGGGAAUCAGACUUUUCCCUCCAACAAAGCCUCUGAGUAACUCCAGACAAGUCACUUUAACAAGCAAUCACAUUUAUGCGUCCCUUCUCUUAAGAUGCUGACUAGAUGCAUUAAUGUUUUAAUUUGAAGUUCUGAGCAUUCACAAUCAAUGGGAUCUCUGCUUCGAAUGAAUGAAUUAUUAUAUAAUGCUGUUCAUCUCAAACAUGGGAUCAUAAUUAUUUCACAUUGGGCAUCCAAAAACUCAGUGAAUACAGCGAAAAUUAACACCUUUAUCUGCACAGGAAGGUUUGAAACAACACAGAGUAACUAGGCCAGGAAUUAUAUUUUAAUCAACAAUAAGAAUGAAAAACACACGGACCACUUCUGCAUCUCAUGCACACUCAUUUUAAAUACUAUGUGGAACAAAAUAUCUGUGCGAUUAACAGCAGCAUAUGGUUAUAAAUUUAAAGACUGUAUCAUAAUGAGCGUGGUAGGAAGAAAGUAAAAUGGCAAAACUAUCUCACUUCUAACUUUCUGAUUAUUUGAUGUUGCAACUUCAAAUAAUGCUUUUUUAACAUAAUAUACGAACAACAAAACCUGAAACUAUCAUAAAUUUGUAUGAGGGAUUAAAAAUGAGUCUAUAUACUAGUCAGAGUAAUUUUAUUUUACACUAAUUAGAAUACAUUAUAAAGCCAUCUCUGCAAACACAUCCAGAUUUUAGUGAUGGGUUGAAAUGUAAUUUUCUGGUUCUUA